UAAGGAAUAUUGGUCAAUGGACGCAAGUCUGAACCAGCCAUGCCGCGUGAAGGAUGAAGGUCCUCUGGAUUGUAAACUUCUUUUAUCUGGGACGAAAACGGGAUUUUUAUCUCAAUUGACGGUACCAGAGGAAUAAGCACCGGCUAACUCCGUGCCAGCAGCCGCGGUAAUACGGAGGGUGCGAGCGUUAUCCGGAUUUACUGGGUUUAAAGGGUGCGUAGGUGGGCUUAUAAGUCAGUGGUGAAAUCUCCGAGCUUAACUUGGAAACUGCCGUUGAUACUAUAGGUCUUGAAUUAUCUGGAGGUUAGCGGAAUAUGUCAUGUAGCGGUGAAAUGCUUAGAUAUGACAUAGAACACCAAUUGCGAAGGCAGCUUACUACACAGUCAUUGACACUGAGGCACGAAAGCGUGGGUAGCGAACA
rnacentral:rRNA from 1 species